GGUUGUAGCUUAGUGGUAGAGGGCUUGCCUAGCACAUGUGAAGCACUGGGUUCGAUUCUCAGCACCA
rnacentral:tRNA from 1 species